CCCUACCCAUUUUUUUAAGCCAAGCCAAAUUAAGCCAAGCUGAACCAAGCCAAGUGUCAUGACCCUAAUUCACGUGACUAGCACCCGACACACUAUCUGAUCCGAGCGAACCAACCCAUAUGUCAAUACUAAAUAUGUGAAAGCUAAAAGAAAAUCUUGUACAUUUUCAAAUCAAGUCACAAAAUAUUUUUCAUUUCCAAGAUCAUAUAUAAAGUUGUUCACAAAAAUGAUACAAUCAAAUAAUCAUUCUAUACAUGUUCGAAUAAUCAUUUACACAUCCUAAUUUUAUGGACACUAGAAAAUUCAACUAAUUAUGUAGUUUCUAUUUUGUAUUCAAUAUUUUCCACGAGAAAACAGGUGCAUUUGCAUAUAUAUCCGUUUUUGGGUCACGUUUUAACUUGUACUCGCUUGUAAUUACCCACUUUUUCGUGUAACUUCAGCAUACAGGACUGAAGUAGCAAAGUCAAUCACGCAAAACUUCAGCAUUCUAGUAGACGGACCUGAAGUAGCAAGUGUGCUGAACCAAGUAUGCUGAAGUUUUUGUAUGUAAUUGAUGAACUUAAGCAUAGUAGCUGAAGCUUUAUUCUCUAUUUGCUGAAGUUUUUUGUUUGUAAUUGCUGAACUUAAGCAUAGUAGCUGAAGUUUUGUUCUCUAUUUGUUGAAGUUUUUGUUUGUAAUUGCUGAACUUAAGCAUAGUAGCUGAAGUUUUGUUCUCUAUUUGCAGAAGUUUUUGUUUGUAAUUGCACUAAAUAAGCUGAAGUUUUUUUUGUCCUAAAUUCAUUAGUUUUGUGAUUAAGCUUUUUCAAAAAUUUCAGCAGAAGAUACUGAAGUUAUUAAGUUCAUUUAUAAAAACUUCAGCACUAAAUAAGCUGAAGUUUUUUUUGUCCUGGAUAAGCUUUUUCAAAAACUUCAGAUGCUAGUUCAUUUGUAAAAACUUCAGCACUAAAUAAGCUGGAAUUUUUUUUGUCUUGGUUUCAUUAGUUUUGUCAUAAAGCUUGUUCAAAAACUUCAGCAGAAGAUGAUGAAGUUAUUUAGUUCAUUUGUAAAAACUUCAGCACUAAAUGAGCUAAAGUUUUUUUGUCCUGGAUUCAUUAGUUUUGUUAUAAUCAGACUACUAUAAAAUAAUCAGAUUGCCAACAGUAUCUAAAUCAUAAAUUUUGGAAACAAUAACCGUGAAAAGAACAGAAUUAUCAUGAAAAGAAUCACUAACUAUGAUCUUAAACUUCCCGUACGUAAAAAUAUUCACAAAUUAUUAUCUACUAACUUACGUAAUUAUUUAUAAUUUAUUUUUAAAUAAUCUGAUAAACAUAUUUAUGGCAAUCAUUCCAUGAGCUGAAGUUUCAUAGCAGCACUAACAGCAGCAGGAGAAAGAAGAAGAAGAAAACGAAGGAGGAGGAGAAAGGGGGCUGAAGUCGUUUAAAAAGUGGGUACAAGUUAAACUUUUUAAAAAUGGGUAUAGGUUAAAUGGGGGCGACCAAGUAGGGCGUCCCGUGUAAUUUUUUCGAGAAAACAUGGUAAUUUCAAACAUUGAUCCGGAGAGCUAAUUCGAAAUGUACGUUGAAACUUGGGACCCAUAAACUUGUAAGUUUAUGAGUUCCUAUAACAAUCUCAAGUUAAUAUAUAUACAAUGGUAAUUGGACAAAUGAACUAAAUUCCAAGUUUAAUAUUCUUAUAUAUCUAAUUAAUUUUUUAGUAUAAAUACAGGGUUUAGGCAAAAGUUAUUGGGUUCGCAUGAACCCUUUGCACUAGAUCCGUCCCUAACAUAGAGCACAUAAACACUAUGGAGGGGGGGACGACCAAGGCGAACGCAGUAUGAAAGAGUAUCAAACCAAGCACAUAGCAAAGAUUCCAUAAAUAUAUAUAGGGGGAAAACCUUCCGGAGAAGGGGGGCCUCUUCUCUCUCUAUUUCCUCUCCUCUGUAACCUUCAUAGUAGAAGGAAGAACAAAGCAAUCUCCAAGAGAAAAUGUAAAGUGGUUUCCUCAACUAAUUAAUGGGAGACAACAUGAAAAGUAUCAAUAAGAUUGAUUACCUCUAUGUCAUCUUAUGCAUUAUUUUCCGAUUAGUUUAUAGAUCUGGAGUUUAUUGCGUUUAACUAAGAUUUAGCCCUUCAUUUCUUCUAUUGAUUUAAUCGAAAAGGUUUCAAUAUCUUUUUGGUCAAACAAUUUAGCGUCGUAUGUGAAGAUUUCUUAGUGAAAUUUCCUAAUUUCUUCCAGAUCAAAAAUCGGAAAUAUGAUUACCCACCAAAAAGAGCGCUAAGGCAAAGCCCAACCCACGCAGGGCAAAAGCACAACAUAGAAGGAGAAAGAGAGCUGAAUACGACCGCCGAAUUUAGAAACCAUCGCUCCAUCAACCAUUGAAAUGCCAGACAAAACAAGCAACAUUAUAAAUAUCAUUUUGGCCCACCUUUUGCUCUUUGCUCAAACAGGAACACAAUCUCCGCGCAGGUGAGCGAGCAAAGAAACAUCUCAACUGGAGAAUGGGAAACUCCUACAAAAUAACCGAAAUAUCGCCCACCUCACAAUCCAACUUCUAGAAAAUGACGCCCCUUAAGCUGUACUCUCUCUCCCUCACCUAGGAGUUGCCCCAAUAGGGUUUGCCCGGGAACUUAGGGACCGAGUCGACGAGGGAGACAUCCCCAAGUUCAAAAUAUAAUUUAUCGUCCCUCCUGUCACACCUCCUUUUUUACCACCCGGGAGGGGAUAUACAAGGGAGUUUUUCCAAUUAAAGUGACAUAAAUCGAAGUGGGAUUAUUUUAUUUUUUUUCAGAGUCACUACUUGGAAUAAUUUAUUUGGUAUCCCAAGUCACCGAUUUAUUUUUAAAAUCCCAAAUCGAGGAAAUUUGACUUAUUUAAAAUUCUGCAAACCAGAAAUUCUAGAUAAGGAAUUAUGUUAACCCGGGAGAAGGUGUUAGGCAUUCUCGAGUUCCGUGGUUCUAGCACAGUCGCUUAAACUAUCAAUAAUUGGCCUAAUUAUUUGAUUUAUUACAUGUUUUAAACAUAUUGUGCAUUUUUAACUUUAUAACCGCUUUUAUUUAUUUAAAACCGCUUUUUAGGAUUUAUGGAAUUAUUUCUUGAACAAGUUACGAUUGUCGUACACUUGCCGUUUUGGAACACACCGCAAACCACGCUACAUGAAAUGCACCCGCGAUUCACGAUAUGUUUAUUUUAUUAUUAUUCAAAGUUGUUAUGAUCGGAUCACAUGAAAUGCACACCCGAAUUGGAGGUUAUAUAUCAUGACCAUGGCACGAGAACCGUACCCAUGGCCACGAUAAUUUAUUUAAUCGCACCUAAAGCAACUAGCGCAUUUGAAUUAUUUCCUUAAGAGCUAAUCUUUGAGAUUAUUGCAAAGGCACAUAUUAUGGAAAUGGAGUUGUUUGGAAGUCAAGAAAUAUUUUAUUUAUUUAGAUCAUUGACAAGUUAUUGAAAUUAUGGAAAAAGUGGGCUAGAUUUAUCUUAAGAAAGAAAUGGGUCUAACAAGGUUCACUUGACCCAGUUCUAUUAAAAGUAACAUGAUAAAAUCAAUUCAAACCCAGGACAAUGGGCUAUGUACUUAAAAUCUAGCAAAUUGAAUUCAGCCCUAAUGUUUCGGGAAACCAAGGCCCAGCGAUUUACCCCAAAAAUAUUGUUCACAUUCAAGAUGACUAUACACACCAACUAUGAAAUUAGAAAGACAAAAAAAACAAUUACACAACAUUAAACAAAAGAAAGAGAGAGAACAAAAAUAUCAUUACAGGUUCCUUACACAUUUAAGCAUUAUGGUUCAAUUUCAUUAUAUUGCUAGUCACAUCUUGCAUCAAUAACACUUUUCAGAGGUUAUCCCUCUCAAUUAUAACUAAAAGAAUGUUGUUGAACUGCUAAAUUAUAACAGUAGGUCCAUUUCAAGUAACUGAUUCUACUCAUGCCUUUAUUAAAACAAUUUUAGUUUAUUUGAAAGUAAGGGAAAUUUUUUUUGGAUACAAAUAGAGUACUUAAAGCAUAUUGAAGUGUCACUAUUUAGGAUCACAUGAAUCUGUAGAGAUUUAUUAAAAUAAAAAAUUUCUAUUCAUUCAUCAAAGUAUUAGGUAUAGAGAGUUUGUGUUUUACCUAUAACAGGAGGAAAAGCAACGCACAAUGGCUAGAUAAAAGCCAAGAAGUGGAAGUUUGGAGCUCAGCAAAAUGCAGGGAAGCAACAGCGAAGUCAUCUUGAACCAAUCGAGAGGAAAAUCUAGAAACACAUAUGAAUCCGAAGCUCACUCGAACUUAAGCUCGUCAGCGGACUCGAAUUCAACCUUGGAGCUACUAUUUUUCGCGAGAAGGGACUGUUUUUAGGUGAUUUUCCAGUUGCGUAGUGAGAUCGAAGGAAGUCACUCGUUUUCUCAUCCGUCCUCUUCGUGUUUGUGUGUGGCUUACUUAGGUAUGGAGGAGGAUGGGUGCAACUGAAGCUUUUUUUUUUUGGUGAAUGUGUGUGUGUCUUCUUUAAUUUGAUGAAAUAAGAUGGGAGAAGGGAAAACGGCUGAU
rnacentral:lncRNA from 1 species